rnacentral:tRNA from 1 species
GCGGGAUUAGUUUAGUGGCAAAACAUGAGUUUUCCAAACUCAGGUCGCCGGUCCGAUUCCGGCAUCCCGCA